UACGGAGGGAGCUAGCGUUGUUCGGAAUUACUGGGCGUAAAGCGCGCGUAGGUGGUUUGUUAAGUUGGAUGUGAAAUCCCCGGGCUCAACCUGGGAACUGCAUCCAAAACUGGCAAGCUAGAGUAGGGCAGAGGGUGGUGGAAUUUCCUGUGUAGCGGUGAAAUGCGUAGAUAUAGGAAGGAACACCAGUGGCGAAGGCGACCACCUGGGCUCAUACUGACACUGAGGUGCGAAAGCGUGGGGAGCAAACAGG
rnacentral:rRNA from 1 species